AACUUUUAGCAAUGGAUCUCUUGGCUCUCGCAUCGAUGAAGAACGCAGCGAAAUGCUAUACGUAAUGUGAAUUGCAGAAUUCAGUGAAUCAUCGAAUCUUUGAACGCACCUUGCGCCCCUUGGCAUUCCGAGGGGCACACCCGUUUGAGUGUCGUGAAAUUCUCAAACCUUCUUGGUUUCUUGAUCAAGAUGGCUUUGGACUUUGGAGGCAUUUUGCUGGCUUUGCGAAAAGCCAGCUCCUCUUAAAUACAUUAGUGGGAUCCCCUUUGCCGAUCCCCAGGCGUGAUAAGAUAUUUCUACGUCUUGGGAUUUGCUCUGUUCCUUGGGAACCCGCUUCCAACCGUCUCAUGGGAGACAUCGUUCGAGUUUGCUCGACCCACGAACCUUGACCUCAAAUCGGGUGAGACUACCCGCUGAACUUAAGCAUAUCAAUAAGCGGAGGCU
rnacentral:misc_RNA from 1 species